UACAGAGGUCUCAAGCGUUGUUCGGAUUCAUUGGGCGUAAAGCGCGCGUAGGCGGCUUGACAAGUCGAGUGUGAAAUCCCCGGGCUUAACCUGGGAGCUGCAUUCGAAACUGUCUUGCUAGAGUAUGGGAGAGGGAGGUGGAAUUUCAGGUGUAGCGGUGAAAUGCGUAGAUAUCUGAAGGAACAUCAGUGGCGAAAGCGACCUCCUGGACCAAUACUGACGCUCAGGUGCGAAAGCGUGGGGAGCAAACAGG
rnacentral:rRNA from 1 species